rnacentral:rRNA from 1 species
UACGUAGGGCGCAAGCGUUGUCCGGAAUUAUUGGGCGUAAAGAGCUCGUAGGCGGCCUGUUGCGUCCGCUGUGAAAUCCCCCGGCUUAACCAGGGAACUGCGUCUGAUACUGGAUGGCUUGAGUUUGGGAGAGGGAUGCGGAAUUCCAGGUGUAGCGGUGAAAUGCGUAGAUAUCUGGAGGAACACCGGUGGCGAAGGCGACAUCCUGGACCAAUACUGACGCUGAGUGAGCGAAAGCCAGGGGAGCAAACGGG